CACGAACGCUGGCGGCAGGCUUAACACAUGCAAGUCGAGCGCCCCGCAAGGGGAGCGGCAGACGGGUGAGUAACGCGUGGGAAUCUACCCAUCUCUACGGAAUAACGCAUGGAAACGUGUGCUAAUACCGUAUACGUCCUUCGGGAGAAAGAUUCAUCGGGGAUGGAUGAGCCCGCGUUGGAUUAGCUAGUUGGUGGGGUAAAGGCCUACCAAGGCGACGAUCCAUAGCUGGUCUGAGAGGAUGAUCAGCCACACUGGGACUGAGACACGGCCCAGACUCCUACGGGAGGCAGCAGUGGGGAAUAUUGGACAAUGGGCGCAAGCCUGAUCCAGCCAUGCCGCGUGAGUGAUGAAGGCCCUAGGGUUGUAAAGCUCUUUCACCGGUGAAGAUAAUGACGGUAACCGGAGAAGAAGCCCCGGCUAACUUCGUGCCAGCCGCCGCCGUAACAC
rnacentral:rRNA from 1 species